rnacentral:lncRNA from 1 species
CAGGGAUCGGUUCCCCCCAAUAAAAAAUUGGGAAAAAAAUCAUCAAAACCCCAAAUAAAUACGGGAAAUGUUUAAAAAAAACAAAGUUUUUUAUAAAUAAAAUUGAAAAAAAUCAAACAUUUAAUUUAAAAUUUAAAAUUCCAAGGAGAUUUAAAAUAGAAUUUUAAUAUAAUGUUAAAUAGAGAAGAAAAUUUCAAACUUCAGGACAUGAAAAUCAAAUAAUUUCAGGAUGAAUGGAAAAUAUUUAAAAGAAAUCAAAAUAAAUUUAAAAAAAUUUAAAGAAAUAAAAAAAUAAGUUAAAAAUUUUAGAACGAAUAAAGGAUAAAUUUUAAAUAUAUUGUAAAGAAAGGAAAGAUAAAUUUCAAAAAUAUUUUCAAAGGAAUAAAAAGGAGAUUUCAAAAAUAUUCUAAAAAAAUAAAAGCAAAUUUUAAAAAUAUUUAAAAGGAAUAAAGAAUUAAAUGGAAUUAUGUAAAAGAAAUUUAAAAAACGAUCAAAAUUAUUUAAAAGAGGUUUAAAAAUUGAGUUAAAAUAUUUAAAGAAAAUGGAAGGAAAGCCUUUUAAAUACAUGGUAAAGGUGAACAAAAUUCUAAUUAAAUUCAAUUAAAUUAAAAAUAUCUAGAAAAAAUUUAAGUAGAUUUAAAAAAAUUAAAAAAUAAAAAUAAAAUCAAUAAAAAUAAAAAAUAAAAAGAAAUACAAAUAAAAUAAAUAAAGUUUAAAUAAAUUAAAAUUUCAAAUUAACCAAUUCCUGGCCAGAGCCCUCCAUUCCCACGCUGCAAUUCCCCAAAAAAAAAAAAAAUCCCAAAUUUGGGAGAAUUUUCACAUUUUUCCACUUUUUUAAAUCAAAAUUUUUCUUUUUUUUUCCCCUCUCCGGUUGGAAUCUCCCAAAAUCCCGGGAGAGGAAUUCCAAAAUUUUGAAAUUCCAAAAUUUUGAAAUUCCAAAAUUUUCCUCAGCUGCUUUGGCCUUUCCUUCUUUUUUUACCAUUUUUCCCCCACUUUUUAUAUUUUUUCUCUUUUUUCCUGUUUUAUUCCCGACUUUUAAAAUUUUUUUCUCUUUUUUCCCUUUUUUCUCUAUUUUUGCCCCUUUUUCUCUCCUUAUUCCCCAUUUUCCACCGCUUAAAAAUUUUUUUUCUAUUUUUUCCCACUUUUUACAUUUUUCCUUUUUUCCCUUUUCCCCCAACUUUUUUCUCUUUAUUUUCCUUUCCCCCCCCCUUUCUUUCCUCUAUUUAAUUUCAUUUUAUUUUUCCUUUCUUUUUCCCCAUUUAUUUUCUAUUUUUUUAUUUUCCCCUUCCUUUCCCCCAUUUAAUUUCCUAUUUUUUCCCUUUUGCUUCUUUUUAUUUUGUAUUCUCCCCUCUUUCUUUUCCCUAUUUAAUUUUAAAUAUUUUUUCCUUUUCUUUUCCCAAUUUUAUUUUGGUUUUUUUUCCUUUCCCCUUUCUUUCCCCCAUUUUAUUUCCUUAUUUUUCCCUUUCUUUCCCCCAUUUUAUUUUGUAUUAUUUUUUCUUUUCCCCAUUUUAUUUAAAUUCCCCACCCUAUUUAAUUUUUUUAAAUUCCCUUCCUUUCCUCCAUUUCAUUUCCCCAAUUUUUUUCUUUUUCCCUUUCUUUCCCCCAUUUUAUUUUGUAUUUUCCCCUAAUUUAAUUUAAUUUAAUUUAAUUUUUUAAAUUCCUUUUCUUUCCCCCAUUUCAUUUCCUCAUUUCCCCCUUCCUUCCCUCAUUUUAUCGUGCAUUUGUCUCCCUUUCUUUCCCCUAUUUAAUUUCUUUUUUUUUAAUUUCCCCCUUC